GGGAGCAUAGCUCAGCUGGGAGAGCACCUGCCUUACAAGCAGGGGGUCACUGGUUCGAACCCAGUUGUUCCCACCA
rnacentral:tRNA from 1 species